rnacentral:rRNA from 1 species
UACAGAGGGUGCGAGCGUUAAUCGGAAUUACUGGGCGUAAAGCGCGCGUAGGCGGCUUUGCAAGUCGGGUGUGAAAUCCCCAGGCUUAACCUGGGAACUGCGUCGGAUACUGGAUGGCUUGAAUCCGGGAGAGGGAUGCGGAAUUCCAGGUGUAGCGGUGAAAUGCGUAGAUAUCUGGAGGAACACCGGUGGCGAAGGCGGCAUCCUGGACCGGCAUUGACGCUGAGGAGCGAAAGCCAGGGGAGCAAACGGG